rnacentral:sRNA from 1 species
UCACACUUGUCUGGUUGAAGUUUGAGGU